rnacentral:rRNA from 1 species
CUUACACAUGCAAGUCGGACGGUCGGCACUGGAAGGUUCGCUGGAAGGUGCCGGUAGCGGCGGACGGGUGAGUAACGCGUGAGGACAUGGCUCCAGGAGGGGGAUAACGUUUGGAAACGGACGCUAAGACCCCAUAUGCCGGAGGGUGAAAAUGGCGCAAGCCAGCCUGGAGAGUGACUCGCGUCCUAUCAGCUAGUUGGCGGGGUGAAGGCCCACCAAGGCGAUGACAGGUAGCCGACCUGAGAGGAUGGCCGGCCACACUGGAACUGAGAUACGGUCCAGACUCCUACGGGAAGCAUAGCUGACGACUUUCGUGCAGCGCCUG